GCGCAGCAGUCGCGAAUCUUCCACAAUGGGGAAACCCUGAUGGAGCGACGCCGCGUGCGGGAUGAAGGCCCUAUGGGUUGUAAACCGCUGUUCAGUGGAAAGAACAUCCUCCGGCUGAAUAGGUCGGAGGCCUGACGUUACCACUGCAGAAAGUCCCGGCCAACUCCGUGCCAGCAGCCGCGGUAAUACGGGGGGACGGAGCGUUGUCCGGAAUCAUUGGGCGGUAAAGGGCGCGUAGGCGGCGAGGAAAGU
rnacentral:rRNA from 1 species